rnacentral:rRNA from 1 species
GACGAAGGUGGCUAGCGUUGUUCGGAAUCACUGGGCUUAAAGAGCACGUAGGCGGACCCGAAAGCGUCAUGUGAAAUCCCUCGGCUCAACCGAGGAACUGCUUGGCGAACUUCGGGUCUUGAGGCAAGUAGAGGUGCGUGGAACUCUUGGUGGAGCGGUGAAAUGCGUAGAUAUCAAGAGGAACGCCGGCGGCGAAAGCGGCGCACUGGGCUUGUCCUGACGCUGAGGUGCGAAAGCCAGGGGAGCGAACGGGAUUAGAUACCCCUGUA